CACCAGGUUGAUUCUGCCUGACGUAGACGCUAUACUCUAAGAUUAACCCAUGCAUGUUUAUUGAAUAUAAAGAAAAGACGAACAGCUCAGUAACUCUUAUUUGAUUUGAUGUAUUAGGAUUCUAACUAUGUUAAAUUAUAGGUAACAAUAAUACAAUAAGAAUAAGAUCUAUCAGUUAGUUGUUAAGGUAAUGGCUUAACAAGACUAUGACGGAUAACGGUAUUACUUUGUAAUAUUCCGGAGAAGGAGCCUGAGAGAUUGCUACUAAGUCUAAGGAUUGCAGCAGGGGCGAAACUUGACCUAUGAUAUUAUAUUGAGGCAGUUAUGAGUAGUAUUUUAUAAUUAUUGUAGUAUUGUAAGUACAUAUUACAAGAUAAAUCGGAGGGCAAAUCGAGUGCCAGCAGCCGCGGUAAUACUUGUUCCGAUAGUGUGUAUGAUGAUUGAUGCAGUUAAAAAGUCUGUAGUUUAUUUAUAAUAAGCAUUGUAAGGUAUACUGUAUGGUUAGGAGAGAGAUGAAAUGUGAUAACCCUAACUGGAUGAACAGAAGCGAAAGCUGUAUACUUAAAUGUAUUAUUAGAACAAGGACGUAAGCUAGAGGAUCGAAGAUGAUUAGAUACCAUUGUAGUUCUAGCAGUAAACUAUGUUGAAUCAUAGAUAUAUUUUGAUAUAUAUUUAUGUAGAGAAAUUAAGAUUAUAUUGACUCUGGGGAUAGUAUGAUCGCAAGAUUGAAAAUUAAAGAAAUUGACGGAAGAAUACCACAAGGAGUGGAUUGUGCGGCUUAAUUUGACUCAACGCGGGGUAAUUUACCAGGUAUAACAUGGUAUAAUAUUUUAUCAUGAUAGUGGUGCAUGGCCGUUUCCAAUGGAUGCUGUGAAGUAAUGAUUAAUUUCAACAAGAUGUGAGACCCUCAUUUAGACAGAUGUAGUGAUACAUAUGAAGGAGAGGAUUAAAACAGGUCCGUUAUGCCCUAAGAUAAUCUGGGUUGCACGCGCAAUACAAUAAUAUUUGAUAUUAUAAGGGAUAAUAUAAUGUAAGAUAUAUUUGAACAUGGAAUUGCUAGUAAAUUUUAUUUAAUAAGUAGAAUUGAAUGAGUCCCUGUUCUUUGUACACACCGCCCGUCG
rnacentral:rRNA from 1 species